rnacentral:rRNA from 1 species
GACGAACGCUGGCGGCGUGCUUAACACAUGCAAGUCGAACGGAAAGGCCCUGCUUGCAGGGUACUCGAGUGGCGAACGGGUGAGUAACACGUGGGUGAUCUGCCCUGCACUUCGGGAUAAGCCUGGGAAACUGGGUCUAAUACCGGAUAGGAGCCAUUUUUAGUGUGAUGGUUGGAAAGUUUUUUCGGUGUAGGAUGAGCUCGCGGCCUAUCAGCUUGUUGGUGGGGUAAUGGCCUACCAAGGCGGCGACGGGUAGCCGGCCUGAGAGCGUGGACGGCCACAUUGGGACUGAGAUACGGCCCAGACUCCUACGGGAGGCAGCAGUGGGGAAUAUUGCACAAUGGGCGCAAGCCUGAUGCAGCGACGCCGCGUGGGGGAUGACGGCCUUCGGGUUGUAAACUCCUUUCGCUAGGGACGAAGCUUUUUGUGACGGUACCUAGAUAAGAAGCACCGGCUAACUACGUG